AGGAGCUUGAAGAAGAAACACAUAGAACCCCGGGCCUCUCUAAUCUCCAAAGGAGGAUAAAAGAGAUUGUUCGAGUGCUUUCAAAUUUGAAGUCAUUGAGGCAAGAAGGUGUGACACGUAAGGAUUACGUUGAUCAACUUAAAAGGGACUUGUGUUCAUAUUAUGGAUACAAUGAUUUUGUGAUUGAAGCAUUAGUGGAGAUAAUUUCUAACUCAAACUAGUCUAGACUCUGCACCCUUUCCCUUUUCAUUUCAGUGUGAAUGAUAUGUGACCUUACUGCUGUUGAGCUGAUUGAACUUAUUGAAGCAUUUGAAAAGCCCCGGCCUAUUUCUCUGCGGACAAACACUUUAAAGGUCAUAUUUUUCUCUGCCUCUUUUCUAUCCUUAACUUUUGUCGCUCUGAUGGUUGACUCAUAGUGUAUUAUUGCUUUGACGGGGUUGAAGCGAUUUAGCUGGUGUUCUUCUUAACAGAGGUGUCAAUUUGGACCCAUUAAGCAAAGCUCCAAGGUGCGAGUUCUUAGUUUUAUGCCCGUAAUGCCCCUUGCCCCUCAGGAGAAUGAACGUGUUGUUGAUAUGGCGUAAAUGAUAUCAUUAAAAAAGGGAGAAACUCUCGUAUACAAGCGGUAUAUCAAAAGAUAGAGAAUCUGCAUCAAAACAUGAUUCUCUACAAAAGACACCCAAUCAUCUAUACAAGUAGGGACUACAUUGGUGAACCAAAAAGCAAUCAAAGACAAGACUAUUCCUUAAAUGUGCAAAAUUAUUUUCAAUCCCCUCAAAAGCUCUCCUAUCUUUUUCCGUUCAAACGACCCACAUGAGUGCUAACGGAGCAAUCUUCCGUGCCUUUUGUACGGAAACCGGACCAGCUAUGCAGCAUGUCUCUAACAGUGCCUGGCGUCGCCCAUUGAACACCAAAAAAGUUCAGGAUUACCCUCCACAAGCCCGUUGACACAGAACAGUGCAACAAAAGAUGAUCACCUUCUUCCCCCGAGCAUUUACACAUAUAGCACCAGCUGAUGUGUGUAAUACCUCUCUUCCUCAGAUUGUCAGCUGUCAUAAUCACUCCCCUCGCUGCCAACUAUGCAAAAAAGCACACCUUCCUAGGUACCCUAGGAAUCCAAAUCGAUGUGUGUGGGGAAAAUGCCUCCUCUCUCACCAACAAACUCUGGUAGAAGGACUUGACUGUGAACAACCCAUCACUCCUCAAUGCCCAUCUCCAUGAGUCACCAUUAGACUGGGGCCUGGUUUUCCUGUAUAGCAACUCCAACAAACUUGGAACUCCCCUAUCACCCAUUCUUGUAGGUUCCUUCUGAACGUGAGAUCCCAUACUACUUCCCCCUCAUGUUCCUUGCGAAUCUGGUGAACCGUUAACUCUCUCUGAUUUGAAGCUCUGAAUACACGAGGGAAUGAAGUCCUCAAUGCAUCCUCCCCGCACCACUUACGAUUCCAAAAGCUAAAACAAUUUCUGUGGACUGUUUAACCGUUGGUUCGGUAAGCAGAAAAGUGGACUUCUUUUGGUAACUUCUGCUCUUCUAAAGUGGGCAAUUUGUACAUGGUGCAGUGCUGCUCCUGGAAGCAAAACAACUUAUUUUGCUGCACUGAUGAAAAAUAGUGCUGCCUAAAGUCUUUGGUCAGAACACUGCUGAUAGGAUUUUGCUGGAUGCUCCCUGCAGUGGCACUGGGGUA